rnacentral:rRNA from 1 species
UCGAUCUCAAAUCAGGUAGGACUACCCGCUGAACUUAAGCAUAUCAAUAAGCGGAGGAAAAGAAACUAACAAGGAUUCCCCUAGUAACUGCGAGUGAAGCGGGAAGAGCUCAAAUUUAAAAUCUGGCGUGCCUCUGGUCGUCCGAGUUGUAGUCUAGAGAAGUGUUUUCCGUGUUGGGCCGUGUAUAAGUCUCUUGGAACAGAGCGUCAUAGAGGGUGAGAAUCCCGUCUUUGACACGGACUACAAUGCUUUGUGAUACACUCUCAAAGAGUCGAGUGU